rnacentral:lncRNA from 1 species
UAGGGGUUGAAUCACAGCUGCAGCUGCUGCCCUGCGCCAAAGCCAUGGCAACACCGGAUCUGAGCCACAUUUGUGACCUAUGCUGCAGCUUGCAGCAAUGCCAGAUCCUUAACCCACUGAGCAAGGCCAGGGAUUGAAUCUGCAUCCUCAUAGACACUAAGUUGGGUUCUUAACCUGCUGAGCCACAAUGGGAACUCCUAACCACAUAAUUUUUAUUUUAUAUUUAUUUGAAGCUCCUUCUUAGAUUUAUUUAGGCAUAGCCUUUUAUUUUAUAUCACUCUGGAUCAUACACAAAAGGGAAAUAUAAAUGAAAGCAAUUAGUUAAGGAAUUCCUAAAUUCUCUUUAUAUUCACAGGCUAACUUCUCUAAUAAACUUUGCAACUCAGAGUCCAUCAAUGAGUAUUUUUCCACAGGCAGUGGUGAUGUAACAUUUCCUAAAGUUGUGCUCCUGAAUUCACUUGUUUCCUGAAUAUUCCAAUUCAUCAAGUUUUGAUGCUUGCAUUUUGUGGCUUUGCAUGUAAUUUUAAUUCUUAUUCAAAUAUUUCAGGAGUUCCCGUUGUGGCUCAGUGGUUAAAGAAUCCGACUAGGAAUGAUGAGGUUGCGGUCGGAUUCGUUAACCACUGCGCCACGACGGGAACUCCUCCCAAAUGAACCUUUUGACAGAAAAUAAAACCAUGGACAUGGAGAACAGACUUGUGGUUGUCAAAGGGGAAGGGGAGGGAAUGGGAUGGAUUGGGAGUCUGGGGUUAAUAGAUGCAAACUAUUGCAUUUGGAGUUGAUAAGCAUGAGACCCUGCUGAAUAGUACAGGGAACUAUAUCUAGUCACUUAUGAUGGAGGAUAAUGUGAGAAAAAGAAUGUAUACAUGUAUGUGUGACUUUGCUGUACAAUAGACUUUGGUCACUUUGCUGUACAAUAGAAAAUUAAUACUGAACAGGCUAUGAUGGAAAAAAUAAAAAUCAUUACAAAAAAUAAUGGGUAGUGCACCCACUCCUGGGCAUAUAUCUGAACAAAACUUUCCUUGAAAAAGAUACAUGCACCCCUAUGUUCACUGUAGCUCUAUUCACACUAGCCAAGACAUGGAGACAACCUAAAUGUCCAUUGACAGAUGAAUGGAUUAAGAAAAUGUGGCACACCUCCACAAUGGAAUACUAGUCAGCCUUAAAAAUAACAAAAUAAUGCUAUUUUCAGCAACAUGGAUAGAACUAGACUCUCGUACUAAGUGAAGUCAGUCAGAAAGACAAAGACAAAUACCACAUCACAUCACUUAUAUCUAGAAUCUAAUAUAUAUUACUGCAUCACCAAACAGUCAGAAGAAAGCUACAUACUCUGCUGUCCUCACUCUAUAUGUUGCCUAUAAAAGCCUUUCCCCAAAAAACAAACUAUUGGGAAGUUCAGGUUUUUUGGAACAUGAGCCACCUGUUCUCCUUUCUUGGCCUUGCAAUUUAACCUUUCUCAGCCCUGAACUCUGAUGUGUUGCCUUGUUUGGCCUCACUGUGCCUCGGGCACAUGAACUUGUGGUCACUAACAGAAGCACCUGCCAUCCCUGCCUUUCUGUCCCCUCCUUGGAGUGUGUCUUGGGAAGAUAAUAAGCUCCAGGAGUUCCUGUUGUGGUGCUGCAGAAAUGAAUCUGACUAGUAUCCAUGAGGGUGUGCGUUGGAUCCCUGGCCUUGCUCAUAUUGCUACAAAGUAACCAUAUUAGAAAAAGAAAAAAAAAUAACCAGAUUGGACCCCAAAUGGAGUCACUCAUGCAAAGCCCACAUUAGCAAACCAAAACUUAAUGGAGUUUUUAUACUCAGCUCUCCCAGAGAUGGAAGGCCCAUGCCAACCAGUUAGCACUUGCUGCCCAGCUCAGGGCACCUGAUGGCUCCAAGCCUUCCCUCUGCUCCAUGUGAAGGGAGUAAUCCUGCUUUAACCAAUCAGCACACACCCAGAAUAACGUCCUUGUCUUGCUCACUUUGGUCUAUAAAAAUAUCUUGCCUGGUACAUCUCUUUGGAACGCUUUUCUCUUUGCUAGAUUGGAUGCUGCCCAAUUCAUGAAUCGCUGAAUAAAGCCAAUUUGAUCUUAAAAAUUUACUAGGUUGAAAUUUGUUCUUUAAUAGUACAGAGGGCUGUUUGUUGGCAGAUCUGUUUUAUUUUCCCUAAACUCUUCAAAAAUUCCUCAAAUUCAAUGAGCUCAAACCAGAAUUCACCAACUUCCUGCUUCUUUUCACCUAGGCAUCCUCUUAAACCUAAGUAUGACAAAAAAAGAAAAAAAAAAAAAAUCCCAUGAGUAGGCACCAAAGGUAAAAACUCAUUUCAACCAUGGCCUGCUGCCUCCUUUAUUCAUUCCACAAAUAUUUACUGAGCACAUUUUCUGUGCUGGACACUGUUCUGGGUACUGGGGGACAGAGCAUUGAACAAAACAAAGCCUCCUGGAAUUUACCUUCUGUUGGGGGAAAAGACCAUAAACAAAUAGUUCAUUUAGUACCAGGUAGAGUGUGAUAAGUGUAUGAAAUUGCAUGGGAGCAAAAUUUUCCACUCCAAAAUGUCUCUCUUUGGCAUGAGGAUUAUUUUAGAGUGAUUAUUUUUAAGAAACAGAAGACUCAGGAAGUCUUUUUACCUCCCCCCUUAACUGUCUGAAGAAUUUUGAUAAAAUCCUGUUCUAGAAGAGAGCUAUCACCAGAGAUGUCUGCAAAGAAUGUGGUCCAGUUGUGGUGGGGAAACUUAGCAGGACUCAGAGAUCAGAGUCCACGCUGCAUCCCACUGUCUCUGUCCAGCAUUCAUUCACCAAACAUUUGCUUUUCAAUCUCCUUGUGAAUUGCUUUUCCUCCCCUUUGAAGUCCCAAACCACUACCUGCAGCCCUCUCUUUUGUUUUUAGCUGAAGGUGGUAUUUAAAGCGAGGGCUUUGGCCAUUUGGGUGAGUUCCUUUUCUCUGGGCGCUCCCAUGUAUACAUGUUAGUAACCUUUUUUAUUUUUUAAAUUUUCCUGUUAAUUUGUCUCAUGUCAAUUUAAUUUUUACACCAGCCAGAAGAACAUAGGAGGGUAGAGGGAAGAUUCUUCCUCCCCGAACAAAGUAAAAUAAAGCAGGUGGAGAAAGGCAGAGAGUAACAGUGUGGUGGCUAGAACUGGCUCCACUGGUGACACCUGAUCAGAAACCUGAAUGCAGUGAAGAAGUGAAACAGACAAAUAUUUUGAACAUGGUUGUAGCUCAAUGAGGCAAAGGAGAAGUGGUGGGUAAGGAAGUCCAAGAGAUAGACAUGGCCAGUCUCCCUAGGAAAUGCAGGCUGUCCAGGACUUGGAUUUCAAUACAUUUAUGCUGGGAAGCCACCAGAGACUUUGUGCAGGGGAAUAAGAUGAUGUGAUACAGGUUUGAAAAGGCUUCCUGAAUCUCUUCUUCCUGCAACCAGAUGGUCCCCUGCCAUUCUUUCUCCCUCUUCCUUCUCUGCCCCCUCCUAUUUUUUCUUCUUUUUUGGGGGGGAGGUAGGGGGGAGGGCUGUGUUCCGAGGCAUAUGGAGUUCCAGGGCCAGGAUCAGAUUCAAGCCAGUUGCAACCCAAGCCACAGCUGGGGCAAUUCCAGAUUCUUAACCCACAGUACACAGCCUGGGACUGAACCUGCAUCCCAGGGCUCCUAAGAUACCACCAAUCACAUUGUGCUACAGAGGGAACUCCCUUUAUUUCUUCUUAAUAAAAAGAGCUCUCCUCAAUGUUUGUUUUUCUUUUUUCUUUGCCACAGCUGUGACAAGUGGAAAUUCCUGGGCCAGGGACUGAACCCACGCUACAGCAGUGACCCACGCCACUACAGUGACAAUGCUGGAUCCU